GUGACACCCAAAUGUGGGGGCGCUCUUCUGGACACCCUGGAAAGUGCUACUACAUUUGAGUCUCACC
rnacentral:miRNA from 1 species